GCUCUGCACCUGCUCCUCCAGGAGCCUCAGGUGGGUGUCAGUGCCCGCCUGGGCGUUCCCGUACACCAUGAAGAGCACGAGCCCCAGGAUGAUCAGGAAUUGGAUCAGCGAGGUGAAAAGGAAAAUGUAUUUGAGGCUCCUUCCUGCCGUGCCGGAUGCUCCCGGGGACCCGCCGGGUUAUCAGGGCACAGCUUCUGCUGGCAUUGUUGUUCCUGAAGUGUGGAAGGGGAAAAAAUAAAUGGGAUUUCAUUCCCUCCAUCCCAUUUUAGUGCCCGGCGCACCCCUGGAAGUGUCUGCCCCGAAAUUCCCACUCCCGGGUGCCCCUGGAAUUGUCUCCUGCCCCAAAAUUCCCAUUCUCAGCGUGGAAAUUCCAGGGAAUUCGAUCCCACCGGGUGAUCAGAGCACAGCAUCUGCUGGGAUUGUUGUUUCUGGAGUGGAGAUGGAGAAAAAAAGUGUGAUUCCAUUCCUUGCAACCCAUUUUGGUGCCCAGCGCAUCCCUGGAAUUGCCUCCUGCUCCAAAAUCAUGGGAUUCAAUUCCUCCGAUCCCCAUUUUGGUGCCCGGUGCCCUGGAAUUGCCUGGAAUUGUUUGGAAUUAUUUGGAAUUGCCUCCCACCCCAAAACUCCCACCUCUGGCACCGGAAUUGCCGCGCUGAUCCCGCCGGGAGUGCAGGGUGGGUCCCCGGGGGUGCCGGGGGCCCCCGAGGGUGGCACGGGGGUGGCACAC